CAGGGGUUCCUGAAAGUGUGGUAAGAUUAGUGAAGAUGGUUAAUGAAGCUACUGCUAAUAUCCCUGGAUGGGAGACAGAGUGAGAAUGAGUCAAACUUGACUUGUGUAUUUACCUAUAUUUAUAUUUUGCUAUUUUCCGAAGCACAGCGCAUGGUCAAUAGUUCCCAGAAGGCUUCAAGAUGGAUUAUCUUUAGACCAAAUAUAUGAUUUAAACAAGUUAAAUAGAAGUGGUGUCACACUAGAGUAGCAGUUCUGUUCUUCAUAGUUAUUUCUCUUCUCCCUCCAUGGUACUUUGGACUAAACUAUAAAGCUAGUAUUCUUUUUGUAAAAAUCUGUUGUGCAAUGUCUUUGAAAGUGUAAUAGGUGACCUGAGUUCUUUUUGAGCUAAAUUAUGACACACACUAGUUAUUG
rnacentral:misc_RNA from 1 species